AUUGAACGCUGGCGGCAUGCCUUACACAUGCAAGUCGAACGGCAGCACGGGAGCAAUCCUGGUGGCGAGUGGCGAACGGGUGAGUAAUAUAUCGGAACGUGCCCAGUCGUGGGGGAUAACGUAGCGAAAGCUACGCUAAUACCGCAUACUAUCUAUGGAUGAAAGCGGGGGAUCGCAAGACCUCGCGCGAUUGGAGCGGCCGAUAUCAAAUUAGGUAGUUGGUGAGGUAAAGGCUCACCAAGCCGACGAUCUGUAGCUGGUCUGAGAGGACGACCAGCCACACUGGGACUGAGACACGGCCCAGACUCCUACGGGAGGCAGCAGUGGGGAAUUUUGGACAAUGGGCGCAAGCCUGAUCCAGCAAUGCCGCGUGCAGGAUGAAGGCCU
rnacentral:rRNA from 1 species